AGUCACCGGACAGCUUGAAGCCUUCAAGUAACUUACACAAAUAAGAGCUUAGCUCACACGGAGAGCUUCUGACUCUUUGAGGGGAAGGUGGUGGUGCCCAAUGGACCCCGGUUAAGAAGUCACACUGGUAGAAAAUGGUUUGACUACUUACAUUAAAGCGGCACCAGGGCACUCCUAGCACCAUAACUACUACAUCACAUUAUAGUGGUAAUGGUGGUAGAGUGUUCCAUUAACAUAAAG